rnacentral:rRNA from 1 species
CAAUAGCGUAUAUUAAAGUUGUUGCGGUUAAAAAGCUCGUAGUUGGAUCUCGGCAGGCAGGGGGUGGUUCGCUCUUAGCGCUACUGCCCCAUUUGCCUGUGUGAUUGGCGGAGGUUUCGGGGUGCUCUUCGUUGAGUGACCCGGGGCGCCGUCAGGUUUACUUUGAAAAAAUUAGAGUGCUCAAAGCAGGCUUUUCACGCUUGAAUAUUCGUGCAUGGAAUAAUGGAAUAGGAACUCGUUUCCAUUUUGUUGGUUUUCGGAAAUCGAGUUAAUGAUUAAUAGGGACAAUUGGGGGCAUUAGUAUUCAGACGACAGAGGUGAAAUUCUUGGACCGUCUGAAGACUAACUACUGCGAAAGCAUUUGCCAAGAGUGUUUUCAUUAA